AACUUCCGGCGUCCGUCGGGCAGCAGCGGGGCUGUCUAUCCCGGCUGAGGACCCGCGGCCAGUGCGGGUGGCUGGCUUUGCCAUUAGCGGGGGCCUUUCCUGAGGACGGCGUACGGAGUGUGGGGAAUGAAGGAUGGCAGCAUGCCGUGCAUUAAAAGCUGUUUUGGUAGAUCUCAGUGGCACACUUCACAUUGAAGAUGCAGCUGUGCCAGGCGCACAGGAAGCUCUUAAAAGGCAAGCUAUCCUCCAGGUUCAGCUGACAAAUAUGUUUGUUACGUGGUGCUUCUGUAAUCAUUAGGUUUGUGACCAAUACAACCAAAGAGAGCAAGCAAGACCUGUUAGAAAGGUUGAGAAAAUUGGAAUUUGAUAUCUCUGAAGAUGAAAUAUUCACAUCUCUGACUGCAGCCAGAAGUUUACUAGAGCGGAAACAAGUCAGACCCAUGCUGCUAGUUGAUGAUCGGGCACUACCUGAUUUCAAAGGUAGGGGAAAUUUGGAAAAUUUAAAGAUUGGAUAUUUAUAUGUACUUACAAAUCAUUUUUAAAACUGGAUGUUUAGA
rnacentral:lncRNA from 1 species